GCGGUGGAGCAUGUGGUUUAAUUCGAAGCAACGCCGAAGAACCUUACCAGGUCUUGACAUCCCCUGACAACCGAGAGAUCGGGCGUUCCCCUUCGGGGGGACAGGGUGACAGGUGGUGCAUGGUUGUCGUCAGCUCGUGUCGUGAGAUGUUGGGUUAAGUCCCGCAACGAGCGCAACCCCCGACCUUAGUUGCCAGCAUUCAGUUGGGCACUCUAAGGUGACUGCCGGCUAAAAGUCGGAGGAAGGUAGGGAUGACGUCAAAUCAUCAUGCCCCUUAUGACCUGGGCUACACACGUGCUACAAUGGGCGGUACAAAGGGUCGCAAACCCGUAAGGGGGAGCAAAUCCAUCGAAAGCCGUCCUCAGUUCGGAUUGAGGUCUGCAACUCGACCUCAUGAAGCUGGAAUCGCUAGUAAUCGCGGAUCAGCAUGCCGCGGUGAAUACGUUCCCGGGCCUU
rnacentral:rRNA from 1 species